rnacentral:snRNA from 1 species
GUAUUCCAUACGGGAUACAUAUACUAAAAUUGGAACGAUACAGAGAAGAUUAGCAUGGCCCCUGCGCAAGGAUGACACGCAAAAUCGUGAAGCGUUCCACAUUUUU